rnacentral:lncRNA from 1 species
UAUUAUCGUGUUUAGCAAAAAAAAACAGUUUGUCUCGCUGGCAGAGAACCACUAGGAAUGAGACUAUCCAAAUGCCUUAGCAAGUGGUGAAUAGAGAAGUAAAUUACAUAUUUAGAAAACCAUAGAAAAGAUGAGAAGAAACAAUUAGACAGAAAGAAAAUCAAAGAGAAAGAUAAGAAGAAAAAAUAACCGGAGAAUGAAAAAGAAGAAAAAAGAAAAGAUAAAAAUAAGAAAGAGAAAG